rnacentral:rRNA from 1 species
GACAGAGGGGGCAAGCGUUGCUCGGAAUCACUGGGCGUAAAGGGCGCGUAGGCGGGAUGGCAAGUCGGUCGUGAAAUCUCUCGGCUCAACCGAGAAACGUCGGCCGAUACUGCCGUUCUUGAGGGAUGCAGAGGAGACUGGAAUUCCCGGUGUAGCGGUGAAAUGCGUAGAUAUCGGGAGGAACAUCUGUGGCGAAGGCGACACCCUGGACCAGCACUGACACUGAGGCACGAAAGCGUGGGGAGCAAACAGG